rnacentral:rRNA from 1 species
CAUAGUCAAGCACCAGAGAGCCCAGUUAGUGUUGUAGUGGGAGACCAUACGAGAAUCCUGGGUGCUGUAAUC